AACACCUCAAACAACAGCACCAGAUAAUAGGCAUUAAAAGUCAUUUCAUAAGUACAACAAAUUGUAAAUGAUAUUAUGCUUUUGAUGUAAUGUUACAUCCUCAUAAAUGAAUUAGUCUAUUCUUUUGAUGACUGGCAGUGAUUAAUUAUCCUGCUUUUACAGCCACUUGAUAUACUGCUGUUCAAUGUAUACACAUGUGUUAACACACAGAGAUACAGCUUAUCUGAUCAAGAUAAGGACCAAUGAAAAUACAGGCUUCUGAACCGUUUUACACCUGUACUGCAAAAAAUAAUCCCCAUCUUUCUGCUUGUUUUUUUUUUCUCUGAGAUCUUUGCAAAUGCUGUGAGCAAAUAAAUGGUCAAAUUUCCCCAUGAACUGUAUACUUAUAUAUUUUAAGAACAUAGAUAUUCCCUUCAGUAACUAUAUAUUGUACCAAAGAAAAUGGCUCAUGAGUACAAAAAUUUGAAUGUAAACAGGAAGUUCGUUGUUCAUGUUGUUGGAGGUAAAUGGAAUAAAGCUAACUUGAAACUCUAAAAUGCUUUUAGAGAGAUAUCAGAUGAAACAGUACCUGUGCAUAUAUCUAGUUAUUAGAGGUAUAUGCCUAUAUGUAUGAAUUGAUGUAGUUGGAGAAAUCAGAUCGCUUCAGUACAUGACUAUGCUACAGGAUGAUACAAGAUCACAGACAGAAAUUCGAUCAAGGAUCAAACAUAAAUUACAUAAUACUUCAACUAAAUUAAAUGAAUGGCUGGAAUGAAGUUCCUGACCCUGGUGAUGAUUUUGGAAAAGCAAAGAGACAUUCUGAUGCCACCUUGUAUUGAGCCUGCAAUACUCCAAAAUGAUUUUGUUGUAUUCAUAAUUUUCUAUCAAAUAAUCUUUUAGUUUAAUUUUCAAAUUUAAGCUAAGUGAGUUUUUAUUAUUCUUAACCACAAGUGUAAAAGCCGCUGGCAGAUGUGUUAUUCCCUUUGAAUUUUAUUCUUUUG